CUUCCGUAGGGGGAACCUGCGGAGGGAUCAUUACACAAAUAUGAAGGCGGGCUGGAACCUCUCGGGGUUACAGCCUUGCUGAAUUAUUCACCCUUGUCUUUUGCGUACUUCUUGUUUCCUUGGUGGGUUCGCCCACCACUAGGACAAACAUAAACCUUUUGUAAUUGCAAUCAGCGUCAGUAACAAAUUAAUAAUUACAACUUUCAACAACGGAUCUCUUGGUUCUGGCAUCGAUGAAGAACGCAGCGAAAUGCGAUAAGUAGUGUGAAUUGCAGAAUUCAGUGAAUCAUCGAAUCUUUGAACGCACAUUGCGCCCUUUGGUAUUCCAAAGGGCAUGCCUGUUCGAGCGUCAUUUGUACCCUCAAGCUUUGCUUGGUGUUGGGCGUCUUGUCUCUAGCUUUGCUGGAGACUCGCCUUAAAGUAAUUGGCAGCCGGCCUACUGGUUUCGGAGCGCAGCACAAGUCGCACUCUCUAUCAGCAAAGGUCUAGCAUCCAUUAAGCCUUUUUUUCAACUUUUGACCUCGGAUCAGGUAGGGAUACCCGCUGAACUUAAGCAUAUCAAUAAGGCCGGAGGAA
rnacentral:rRNA from 1 species